GCCAUCCCUCCCCUGCCAACUCCAUGGGGGGGGUCUCAUGACUUGUUCUCACUCAUCACUCAAUUUCCAGAGCCUAGACAGUGCCAGUACAUGUUACGGGUUUAAUUAAAUUUUUUUUGAAUCAAUUACAUUUUAAAAAUUUAUUUAUUUAUUGACUAUUUUUAUUUUAUUAUUUUUUUAGAGACAGGCUCUCUAUGUUGCCCAGGCUGGAGUGCAGGGGCUACUCAACAGGCACGAUCCCACCACUGAUCAGCACAGGAGUUUUGACCUGCUCCAUUUCCAACCUGGGCCUGUUCACACCACCUUAGGCAACCUGAUGGUCCUCCGCUCCCGGGAGGUCACUGUAUUGAUGCUGAACUUAGUGUGGACACCUGAUUGGCAUAGCGCACUACAGCCCAGAACUCCUGGGCUCAACCGAGAUCGGAAGAGGACAC